rnacentral:rRNA from 1 species
GACGAACGCUGGCGGCGUGCUUAACACAUGCAAGUCGAACGCUGAAGCUCAGCUUUUGUUGGGUGGAUGAGUGGCGAACGGGUGAGUAACACGUGAGUAACCUGCCCUCUUCUUUGGGAUAACGCCCGGAAACGGGUGCUAAUACUGGAUAUUCACUGAUCUUCGCAUGGGGGUUGGUGGAAAGGUUUUUCUGGUGGGGGAUGGGCUCGCGGCCUAUCAGCUUGUUGGUGGGGUGAUGGCCUACCAAGGCUUUGACGGGUAGCCGGCCUGAGAGGGUGACCGGUCACAUUGGGACUGAGAUACGGCCCAGACUCCUACGGGAGGCAGCAGUGGGGAAUAUUGCACAAUGGGCGAAAGCCUGAUGCAGCGACGCCGCGUGAGGGAUGGAGGCCUUCGGGUUGUAAACCUCUUUCGCUCAUGGUCAAGCCGCAGCUUUGGGUUGUGGUGAGGGUAGUGGGUAAAGAAGCGCCGGCUAACUACGUGC